rnacentral:rRNA from 1 species
UACCCUUGGCCAGGAUGAAGUCUGGGUAACACCAGAUGGAGGUCCGCACCAAUAAGCGUUGAAAAGCUUCUGGAUGAACUGAGGGUAGGGGUGAAAGGCUAAUCAAACUUGGAGAUAGCUCGUACUCCCCGAAAUGCAUUUAGGUGCAGCCUUUAUUUAGUAUAGCAUGAGGUAGAGCGACUGAUUGGAUGCGAGGGCUUCACCGCCUAUCAAGUCCAGAUAAACUCCGAAUGCGUGCUAUAUAUUGAUAAGGAGUGAGGGCGCGGGUGCUAAGGUCCGCGUCCGAGAGGAGAAGAAUCCAGACCAUCAGCUAAGGUCCCCAAAUAACAGUUAAGUUGAACUAACGAAGUCGGACUGCAGAGACAGCUAGGAUGUUGGCUUGGAAGCAGCCAUUCAUUUAAAGAGUGCGUAACAGCUCACUAGUCGAGGAGUCCGGCGUGGAUAAUACUCGGGCAUAAACUGUUUACCGAAGCUAUGGAUGUAGAAAUACAUGGUAGGGGAGCAUUCCAACGGCGUUGAAGGUGAAGGAUGACCUUUGCUGGAGCUUUUGGAAACGCAAAUGUAGGUAUAAGUAACGAUAAAGGAGGUGAGAAACCUCCUCGCCGAAAGACUAAGGUUUCCUGAUCAACGUUAAUCGGAUCAGGGUAAGUCGGGACCUAAGGUUAAGCCGAACGGCGAUACCGAUGGAAGAAUGGUUUAAUAUUCCCAUACUACUUUAUGGAGCGAUGUGGAGACGGAGAAGUGAAAGUCCUGCCAUCUGACGGAAUAGGUGGUUGAAGAGUGUAGAUGUAGAUUCCUGUAGGCAAAUCCGCAGGGAGAGUCGACCUUGACAGUAUGCCGCGUGCUUGCACAAGGCAAAAUGGACGUAAUCAGGCUCCCAAGAAAAUCCGCUAAGCAUAUUCAUAAAGUACCCGUACCGUAAACGGACACACGUAGUUGGGUUGAAAAUACUGAGGCGCUCGAGUGAUUCACGGUUAAGGAACUAGGCAAAUUGACCCUGUAACUUCGGGAUAAAGGGUCCCUACUGAGAGGUAGGGCGCAGAGAAUAGGUCCAGGCAACUGUUUAACAAAAACACAUGGCUGUGCGAAAUAGAAAUAUGAAGUAUACAGCCUGACACCUGCCCGGUGCUGGAAGGUUAAGAGGAGAGCUCAUCGCAAGAGAAGGCUUGAAUUGAAGCCCCAGUAAACGGCGGCCGUAACUAUAACGGUCCUAAGGUAGCGAAAUUCCUUGUCGGGUAAGUUC